AAGUCGAGCGAACGGACGAGAAGCUUGCUUCUCUGAUGUUAGCGGCGGACGGGUGAGUAACACGUGGAUAACCUACCUAUAAGACUGGGAUAACUUCGGGAAACCGGAGCUAAUACCGGAUAAUAUUUUGAACCGCAUGGUUCAACGGUCUUGCUGUCACUUAUAGAUGGAUCCGCGCUGCAUUAGCUAGUUGGUAAGGUAACGGCUUACCAAGGCAACGAUGCAUAGCCGACCUGAGAGGGUGAUCGGCCACACUGGAACUGAGACACGGUCCAGACUCCUACGGGAGGCAGCAGUAGGGAAUCUUCCGCAAUGGGCGAAAGCCUGACGGAGCAACGCCGCGUGAGUGAUGAAGGUCUUCGGAUCGUAAAACUCUGUUAUUAGGGAAGAACAUAUGUGUAAGUAACUGUGCACAUCUUGACGGUACCUAAUCAGAAAGCCACGGCUAA
rnacentral:rRNA from 1 species